AGUGGCCAGCAUCUCUCCCUUAGAGCCAGCAGCCUUCUUAAAAAGAUCAGAAGAGAAAUGAUUCCUUUUGGUCCCCUUCCAGCGUCAGUUUUGCCCUUUGAUGUAAGUCAUCGUCUCUGGACAUGAGAACGGGAGGCCUCACUUCCACAUCCUCCUCCAAAUGAAUGCACUCUAAACAAACAUUGAUGCGCCUCUCAAGGUUGGCAUUGCAUCUGGACCAGUGCCAGGAAGCCACAAGGCCACCAGAGGCAGAGGGGAAGAGCAAGGGCGGAAGAACAGAAGUCAAGCAGCAGCAGAUGGAAUGUGUGCACGGUCAGGUGGAGGCAAGCUGCUCCUGACAGGUGCAAGAACUGACUGUGUGUGUACUUUGCUUCUCAGUGCUGUGCACAGACACGUGCAGCAAGAACCAUCUCAGAGGGUCACAAGCCCCCUAGAUUUUACCCACAGAAGAUGGUAGAAAAAAGAACCUGUGAUGAAUGAAGAAAGCUGGGGAAAAUGAGGGAAGGCAGGAGGAACCUGCCAGAAACAGGCCAAGUCCCACCAACAUGGAAAUCAGAUCACAAAUGAUUUAGCUGUAAAACAGGUAUCCCAAGUUACGCCAUGUAAUUCCCAAUUCCAUUCUUUCCUUUCCUUCUCCCUUUCCCUCUUAAGUAUCUGUGGAUAGAAACAGGAUGUUAUGUUUUACUUUCUCCUGCAAUGUAGGAAGAUAUUUAUUCUCUAGUUCAUAUCCAAUUAUUUGCAGGCCAGAAAUUCUUUCUCUAAUAAUAUUAAAAUAUGUACCUGUUCCAAAGACACUGCAAUUAAUAAAGUUGUUUCCCUCAACCCAGAGGAAAUGCAAAGCUUUCUUAUAAAUCCAUUCCAAGAAUCAAAUUUUUUCUUGUACAUCUUCAAAAAACUAUGUGUUGCUAGGUGCAG
rnacentral:lncRNA from 1 species